UUGAAAGGGAAACGAUUGAAGUCAGUCGUACCGAUGGGCAUUCAACUUCUCGGGUGCGAUUAUGUGGGUGUUGGGGAGCUUAACGGCCCUCGCGUUUGCGUAUUUGUGCCCUUCGGGUGUACUUGCCCGUAUGGUAGGUCAGCAUCAAUUUUGGACAUCAUAAAAUGACGGGGGGAAAGUAGCUUCGAUCUCGUAUUGAAGUGUUAUAGCCCCUGGUAGAUGUGGUGACCGGGAUUGAGGAUUGCAACGAACCCCUCGGGGCCACCCGCCUGGCCUCUGUUGGUCGUUCUGGUGCCGAAAGCUCGCUUACGGUCAUCGGGGUUGAUCGGCAAAAGGUUAGAACGGGUUGAUUUCGUUAAGGAUGUUGACGUA
rnacentral:rRNA from 1 species